rnacentral:lncRNA from 1 species
AAACGUACAUUAGGUUGGUUGAACCGAGACAAUAUUGCUAAAGUUAGACAAUGACCCCUUUGGCAUUUAAAAUAACUAGAAUUUUGACCCUCUCAAUCCUUGUAUUUAUCUACACCAAUAAAUUCCCACUCAACUCCAUCCACCAUUCAUUCCUUCUCUUCUUUUCAUUUCCCAUAAACCUCCCUCUCUCUUUCUCUCAUUAAGCAAACACCUAGCACUUCUUGAUCUCAAGGCUCUUCACUCGAGUUUUAAAUUUGGGUCCGCGAUUAUAAUCGAGUAUCUCUCUAUCCAUAUCGCAAUUGUAAGUGCAGACACAUUGAUAACCAUAUUUUUCUACAAUUAUCUACAGCUCGAAUAUUUUUUUGGAGUAUCCUUAAUCGCAACUUCGAUCACAAUUUAAAAUGUUCAACAUCAAGUAAAUCUCAAUGUGGUAGUUUCAAGGGGUGGUUUGAGAAGGAUAACUUUGUUUUGGUAUAUGAUGCUGAAAGAUGAUGAUGGCUCCUAAGGUGGUAGGUAGAGACACCCGCAAGUGUUUGAUGGUAAAUGUGGAGGAUUCAAAUGAGAGUAAUUGUACUACUUGCAUGUUAAAAUUCAUGAUCAUAAUUUUGAGUCUUCUUACUUUAUCCAUUCUAGUGUUGCCAUUGGUGUUGCCUCCUUUGCCACCACCACCAUUGCUUCUUCUCUUUGUUCCCGUUUUCAUCUUGUUGCUUCUCUUUCUCUUGGCAUUUUCACCUCCCACACUUCCAAAUAUGGCUGCUUUGAAUUCUUGAUGUGUAACAAGUUGUGUAGCCUUUUCAAGAUCUAUGCAUGUAAGUUCCAAAAAGAAUAAUUAAUAAGCAAUGCUAUAUGAUGAGUAGUUUCUUAUCUUUCUAUGUUUAGUAGAUCAACUUAGCUAACACCGUUCCUCCUUUGUUCUUGUGGUGGGUUUUUAUUUCCAUUAAUUAUAUGUCAUUUUUUGGUUCCUAUAUGAUGUAAUCAUAUAAUGUUAAUAUCUCAAGUAGAAGAGUUAACCAAAUGAUUGAGAUGGUAUUGAAUGGGGACAAUUAGAGUCAUUGAAUUUGCACAUAUACAAGUGGAUGGUUCAUGUCCGUUAUGCUCUCAUGGCAUUGAUUUACUAGCUUUAUUGAGUCCUUAGAUACAUUUUUGGACUAGUUGAAGAGACAAUUACAUUGAACUGUACUUGUGUUAAAGACUUGAGAUUGUUACAUUUGGAGCCAAAUAUUUUCUCUAAAACAUUGUAGCACUCUAUGUAUCAUUUGUUUUUUAUUGAUAAAAAAAGUAAAACAUAAAUUAAAAAUAUAUUAAUUUUAUAUUUGGGACAG